rnacentral:rRNA from 1 species
CCAAAAACAUAGCCCUCAAAACAAUUGAAGGUGAAACCUGCCCAAUGAUUUAAUACACUAAAUUUAAAAAUUUAAUAAAAAAAAAUUAAAUGGCUGCAGUAACUAUGACUGUAAAAAUGUAGCAUAAUAAUUCGCCACUUAAUUAGUGGAUAGUAUGAACGGUUUAACGAAAAUUCCACUGUCUUAUAUAAUAAAAAAAAAAUUUAAAUCAUAGUUAAGCUGCUAUGUAAAACUGUAAGACGAAAAGACCCUAUAAAGCUUAACUAUAUUUCUUAAUAAUUUAAUAAAAAAAAAACUUAAAAUAAUUAUUUAUUAAGAUUUGGUAGUUUCAUUGGGGCGAUGAUCUCUAAAAAUAAACAGAGAUAAACCUAUAUAAUAAUAAAAUUUACUGUAUAAUUAAUAAAUUUAACAGUUACAAAGUAGGGUAUAAUGACCCAUUAAUUUUAUAAAAAGAAUUAAUGAUCAAUAAAUAAAAGCUACUUUAGGGAUAACAGGAUAAUAAUUUCUUAGAGACCCAAUCGAAGAAAAAGUUUAUCACCUCGAUGUUGAAUUAAGAUAACCUAAUGACGCAGCAGUAAUUAAAGGUAGGUC